UCAGCCCUCUGUGGGAGCAGCCGCUCAUCCUAGUCAGCCGAGUGGUGCUCCCAUUGUGGGAGUGCACUGACCACGAGGGAACCUCCUGU